rnacentral:rRNA from 1 species
AGCAGCCGCGGUAAUUCCAGCUCCAAUAGCGUAUAUUAAAGUUGUUGCGGUUAAAAAGCUCGUAGUUGAAUUUCGGGAUUUAUCCGUCGGUCGGGCUUUUGGGUCUGUACUGGCGUGAUGAAUUCCUACCUUCUGAAUAACCGGCAUGUCAUUAAUUUGGUGCGCUGGGGAAGCAGGACUGUUACCUUGAAAAAUUAGAGUGCUUAAAGCAGGCUAUUGCCUGAAUACAUUAGCAUGGAAUAAUGAAAUAGGACGGCAUGGUUCUAUUUUGUUGGUUUCUAGGAUCACCGUAAUGAUUAAUAGGGAUAGUUGGGGGCAUUAGUAUUCAAUUGUCAGAGGUGAAAUUCUUGGAUUUAUUGAAGACUAACUUCUGCGAAAGCAUUUGCCAAGGAUGUUUUCAUUAAUCAAGAACGAAAGUUAGGGGAUCGAAGACGAUCAGAUACCGUCGUAGUCUUAACCAUAAACUAUGCCGACUAGGGAUCGGACGAUGUUAAUUUUUAAUGUACUCGUUCGCGCCUUA